GGUGUCAGGACGUCGAAUGUCUCAGUACUCUUGUCAGUUUUGUGCCUAGUUAUUGCACUUUCUGACUGUAUAUAGUAUCCAGUUACAGUGAUGGAGAGUUACUCUUAACUCGUAUCCAUAUGUCCUUUUCCUUUCUACAUUUAUUUAUGGCUCAACAUCUGAGUUUCAAAUAUUCUGUCUUUACCUCGGGAUUACGGGGAAAAUAGACUUCCCUUUGUCGAGCAAUGAGUGUACCGGAGCAUUUGCUGGAGCCGCUUGAGAAUACCACACGCAACAAUUGUAUCCCAGAGCUAACCUGCCGUACGUUCCCAGGCAAUGUUUCACGUAGCCUAUUUGAGCUACCUUGCUGCCUGGGUGGAUCGGGGCUAAUCAAUCCAAGGACCUUGAGCGCACAGUUUGCUUCUUCCACCCGCGUCACAGAGUCGCUCACCAACAGGAUUUUGGCUCGAGAGAGGAUCCUCGGAAGUGCCUUGACUUUAAUCACACUGGCCAGCAACAUAAACAUGAUAAAAGGGGAGGUAGACAAAAUUGGACAAGCGAACAUUGACAACACAGAGGAGCCUGGCAUGAGUGCCAAUGAGGUAGGUCAAUCUCCCCCGACCAAGUGGUCUCGGGUUCAUCAGUUGGUCUACGCAUCAGGAAGGGGAAAUGGACAGAGAAAGGGAGAAUGAGCAUGAGGAGCUUUCCAGGAGAGGAAAAGUGAGAGAGAGAGAGAGAGAGAGAGAGAGAGAGAGAGAGAGAGAGAGAGAGAGAGAGAGAGAGAGAGAGAGAGAGAGAGAGAGAGAGAGAGAGAGAGAGAGAGAGAGAGAGAGAGAGAGAGAGAGAGAGAGAGAGAGAGAGAGAGAGAAACAGAAAA